GCCUUCGUGGUGUAGUGGUCAGCCCUCUGGGCGCGUAUUCCAGAGGUCCGUGGUUCGAGUCCAGGCGAAGGCG
rnacentral:tRNA from 1 species